rnacentral:rRNA from 1 species
AUUGAACGCUGGCGGCAGGCUUAACACAUGCAAGUCGAGCGAGCGGCGGACGGGUGAGUAAUGUCUGGGAAACUGCCUGAGGGAGGGGGAUAACUACUGGACACGGUACCUCAUACCGCAUACCACCAGUUGUGCCAGGAGGGGAUGAGCUAGUAGGUGGGUUAAUGGCUCACCAAGGCGACGAUCCCUAGCUGGUCUGAGAGGAUGACCAGCCACACUGGAACUGAGACACGGUCCAGACUCCUACGGGGGGCAGCAGUGGGUAAUAUUGCACAAUGGGCGCAAGCCUGAUGCAGCCAUGCCGCGUGUAUGAAGAAGGCCUUCGGGUUGUAAAGUACUUUCAGCGGGGAGGCGUUACCCGCAGAAGAAGCACCGGCUAACUCCGUGCCAGCCGCCGCGGUAAUAC